rnacentral:misc_RNA from 1 species
GAAGUCGUUACUCCAACCCUUGUGGAGGAGGACGCCGAAGGUGAGGCUAAUGACUGGGGUGAAGUCGUAACAAGGUAGCCGUACCGGAAGGUGCGGCUGGAUCACCUCCUAACAGGGAGACAACGAAAUGUAAAUAUUAAUUUUGUCACCUUAGGUCGAUCGGUAUCUCAGAUUCUUAUUAUUUAAGAAUUUCAGUUUCUAAGUUUUUUCUAGGUCACACCCAUCACUUUUUCCUGGGCCAUUAGCUCAGGUGGUUAGAGCGCACCCCUGAUAAGGGUGAGGUCCCUGGUUCAAGUCCAGGAUGGCCCAUAUCUCUAUGUUGGGGGUAUAGCUCAGUUGGUAGAGCGCCUGCUUUGCAAGCAGGAUGUCAGCGGUUCGAGUCCGCUUACCUCCACUGAAUACCACCUCUUACAUAUAGUUGAAGUGGGAAAUUGUUUUGAGUCGUGUCCUAAUUUGCUCUGAGCGAAUCUAGCUUCCUAUUUUAUCCAAGAAAUAAGAUGCUGGACUCAUUGAAUUUUUUUUCAUUGUUUUCAGAGAACCUUGACAACUGCAUAGAUUAUUUUCAAAGACAAUAAGCAUCUUUAAUGAUGCAGAUUUAUUAUUUGUGCGAAUGCAUUAAAUAACAAUUCUAUUAAGCUGAUGCUUCAAUUAUUGAAGUUAUUGGUCAAGCUACAAAGGGCUCACGGAGGAUACCUAGGCACACAGAGGCGAUGAA